rnacentral:misc_RNA from 1 species
GAUGAAGAACGUAGCGAAAUGCGAUAAGUAAUGUGAAUUGCAGAAUUCAGUGAAUCAUCGAAUCUUUGAACGCACCUUGCGCCCUUUGGCCAUUCCGAAGGGCAUGCCUGUUUGAGUAUCAUGAACACCUCAACUCUUUAUGGUUUUCCAUGAUGAGCUUGGACUCUGGGGGUUUUGCUGGCUCACAGUCGGCUCCUCUAAAAUGAAUCAGCUUACCAGUGUUUGGUGGGUAUCAUGGGUGUGAUAACUAUCUACGCUUGUGGUUUUUCCACCAGGUAACCUUCAGCAGUGGAGGUUCGCUGGAGCUCAUAGAUGUCUCUCCUCAGUGAGGGCAGCCCUUUGAAUGUUUGAUCUCAAAUCAGGUAGGACUACCCGCUGAACUUAAGCAUAUCAAUAAGCGGAGGA